GUCCACGCUGUAAACGAUGAUUACUAGGUGUGGGGGGACUGACCCCCUUCCGUGCCGCAGUUAACACAAUAAGUAAUCCACCUGGGGAGUACGGCCGCAAGGUUGAAACUCAAAGGAAUUGACGGGGGCCCGCACAAGCAGUGGAGUAUGUGGUUUAAUUCGAAGCAACGCGAAGAACCUUACCAGGUCUUGACAUCGUAUGCAUAUCUAAGAGAUUAGAGAAAUCCCUUCGGGGACAUAUAGACAGGUGGUGCAUGGUUGUCGU
rnacentral:rRNA from 1 species